ensembl:lncRNA
CUUUGAAAUGAGCAUGUCCAUGUGGCUUAGGCUAUGUCUCAAUCAGCUCCUAGUUCAGUAGUCAGGGCAAUGACCAAGGAGUCAACCAUUUUAAGGCCUGUCUCAAUCACAAAAUCCUGCCGGUGCACUGGGACAUUCGCUCCCUAUAAAAAUCCCACAAUGCACACAAAAAACAGGGAGCAUCGAUGCUCACAAUGUUCCCUUACUGGAUAUGACAUGCUUUCUGAAUGGUGGACAGACUCUUAGCCAACUUCCAUUUACAAAUGGUCACGGGGAACCUGGAGCCUAUCCCAGGGAGCAUCGGGCACAAGGCAGGAUACACCCUGGACAGGGUGCCAAUCCAUCGCAGGGCACAAUCACAUACACAUUCACACACCCAUUCAUACACUACGGACACUUUGGACAUGCCAAUCAACCUACCAUGCAUGUCUUGGGACUGGGGGAGGAAACUGGAGUACCGCAGCAUGAGAACAUGCAAACUCUGCACACACAGGGCCACAGUGGGAAUUGAACCCCUGACCCUGGAGGUGUGAGGCGAACAUGCUAACCCCUCAGCCACCGUGCGCCCCAUGUGAAGCAAUGUGAUGAUAUAAAAUUAAAAAUAUCCAUAUAUGGCCAUGGCCUUUGUUUCGACUCAGGACAGCUGUUAUUUGCUGCUAUGUGGACGCUGUACACAACAAUGCUUCACCUUUGCAUGUUUGCUGAGAAUAAGCUAAUGGUUGAGAGGCAGGAAUUUGGCCAAUAGUUGCUGCAAGCCUUUUAUAAUCAACCAGUUGGUGUGUUGGAAGGUGGGAAAUACAGAGAGAGGUUGAAGCAAUGCAAAUAUGCGUACACAUGAUGCAGUAUUAGACCAUAAGUACAUCAUAAUGAAACUAAAACAGAAUCGAGUACAAUUUCUCAAAUUUAGACACUUUUUUUAAGGUCCGGGAAAAAGAGGACGUAUGGUCACCCUAACAAUUUUCUCUUUCUCUUUCUCAUUUGUAAGUCGCUUGGAUAAAAGCGUCUGCUAAGUGAAUAAAUGUAAAUGUAAAUGUAAUGUAACAAAAGCAUUUCAGAGAACAAUUUAUGUUAAUUUCUACCAAAUUAACUUUGCACAAAAUUAAUUUGCGCAAGCACCAGGAGGUUGCUCAUGUGAGUCACGACUGGCGAGAGAGAACCAGAACUAUAAUCAAGCAGCUGUCUAUACUGUGUUCUGUCAAAAGUUUCAUUUCUUUGGUUUUAAAUGAAAAAAAAAAUUGUAAUCCUGAUAGUCUUACCAUUUUUUUUUUAUUUAUUUUUUUUUUUUCACAAAAUGUACCUGCAAUCUGAUUCCUUUGUUUUUUGACAUAAUUUUAACAGAUUACAGUUACCAUUUUUUUGUAUCCUGAUUACGUAACGCCAUUACAUGUAUUCCGUUUCUACACAAGCCUGGUGAUAAUAGGAACUAAUUUGUCUCAUAUACAUUCCACAACAUUACAUGUACUACUAUAAACUGUUAAAGAGCAUGACAUGUUGUUUAUUAAUAAAUACAAAUUGCAAUCAUUGCCUAAUUGCUGUGGUACACAAGGAAAAAGACACGUCUGGGACAUCAUGUUACUGGAAAAUAAUCAACAUCAAGGUAGUAAGAGUAUCUCUCAUGCUUUGUGUCGGGCCACAUCACACCACCCCACCAUUAAUUAUUUUCCUAUUACAGUAUGCUCUGUAGUAUGUUAUACUCUAUUAUUCUGUAUUUAAUUCAUUUAGGCGUUCAAUUGCAAGAGGAAUAAAGAAAAUAUGCUGAGGUUCAAUUUGGGAUUAGGAAACCCUCUCCAUUUCAGUAUGAGUGUUUAUGGUUUCCUCUAUUAUACAUUAAGAUUUAAAUGUUCAGAAUCUUUAUAAAUGUGAUUUAUAGAUUUCACAGAUGUUCCUUUAUUUCUCACAAGUAACAUAAAUGGUCAAAUUUUGUAUGAUGUUUUCGAUUACAGGAUACACACACAUUUCAUCUUUAAAAUUCUGGAAUAAAAUAUUUUACAUAAAUGGUGAAGCAGAGAUUAUCUUUUGUCAUGAAAACACAAUUGGAGAUGCCGUUAUUGGCUUCAAAAGUAUAGUUCAAAAUAGAGAAAAUAUGUAUUUAACUAAAAACAGUGCGACAAUGGACAAGGAUUUUGCUGUCCUAUUAUCCUGAGUCUGAGAGAUGAGGAGUGUGUGUUGUUUGGACCCCCCACACAUACUUUUUGGGGUAAGGGCUUCCUGGCUACUCAGUUACAGAACAGCAAGCCCAGACCGCAAAAAGAUAUGUGAAGGGCAUAAGCAGAGGAGAGAUGUGAGGAUAUGCACAGAUCUUUCACAAGUCCACAUCGGAUCUGAAAAAUAGAAAGCAUGCUUACAGUUACUUCAUCUGUUACUCUGCAUGUUCUGUGUUUCUUGGCAUUACAGGCUUUUGAAUGCAUCAAUAUGCUGACAAGUAACUAGUUAGGAGGACUGCACAAUAUUUCUCUUGUUAGUUGGUUUUGCAAUAUUGUCCAUUGUUGUCUGUGCUGACAGUUGGCAGAAGGCUGACGUAUAAUAAAUCCUUAAUGAUUUCUCUGAUACUUCUUCUGAAGAAAUGAUCGCGCAACCAUGGGGGCAUUAACUACAGUAUAUGCAGGUAAUUUGCAUGCUCUUGAUUGGAACAUCCAGGAAAUGGACUUAAGCAGAAACUCAGCUAACAUCUCAGGUGACAACUCUAAGCUAGUAGUGAACAUGUGAUGGAUCAGUGUUAUUGUGUCAUUAAAUGUAACAGCCAAUCAUGUUUCAGCAUGCAAAUACAGGCCAUGCAACACUGGUAUACCAGUGGUUAUGGGCAUUUCUAAUAUGCUUAUUAAUGAAAUCUGAAUUUCUUUUGUCCACUUUUCUGCUGUAUAAGUCUUUUGAUUUAUUUUAUUUUAUGUUUUUGGUAGAACAGCUAUAUUUCCAACAUCAAAUUUAUGUGUGUGUUUGUUGUAUCUUUAAUGGAUAUAACAAAUAUUAAAAAUAGUACUUGACUCAUUGUCAGUUAACAGUGUGGGAUUAAAGUAUUGUUCAUAUUUCUAAUAAUGGAUUGAAUAUAUAUAAUUGAAUAUGAAUAUAUUGACUAUGAAAAUAAGUUUAAGACAUAGGACUAUUUAUACUAUAUCUAUUACCAUUAAGGUUUCUUUGGACUUUCCCUCUGUGGGAACCUUUAAAGGUUUUAUGUUGAACCCUAUAAUUACACUACAAUCUGCAAUUAGAACCUUUUUAGGCAUUUAAUUCUUGAGGAUAUGUAUAUGUAUAUGUUUACAGCCAUCUGCAUGUAAAGGAGAUUGCUGUAACAAUUCUUAUAAAUAUAUAAAACAUAAGACAUACAAGGAGAUUUUAAUGUACUCAUAAUGUAUUCUGUCCACAAAAAAACUUAGUUUAUCAAUCUGGUUUCAUUAGUAUUUAUGACAGUGUUUGUAACAUAAUAGUUUCUCCUCAGAGCUCAGUUAUCUAAAUAGGAAGAAUUCUCUCUUUGAGGUGUAGUUGAAUGAUAAUAGAAAUAAUAAUAAGAUCAUGUAGACUGGAUGUAAUCAGAAUGUAAUUUUGAUGAAAUAAUCGUGGUUCAUGGUGGAUGGUGAAUCACAUUAUUAUAUAUAUUUUUUUCUUCUGAAAUGGUGGCUCUAGUUUGGAUGAUUUCUUAUUCUAUUUUACAUCACACAUCCAUGAGUGUAAAUGUGAAUCAUUUCUAAUUAAAGAAUUUUACGAACACAGAAACAUUCAGGUUUGGUUGUUUUUAAAGAUGUUCAUGUCUUCUAGCAUAAGCAUCAUUAAUUAACGUGAGGAACAUGGACUGGAUCGGUACUAGACGUUGGUUUAGAACGACAGGUUUCACUCGGACAGGUGCACCGUAUGAAGAGCGAUGAGAUGAUCCUGCACUGAAGGAGACUGUAGGCCCAUAAUGAUGUAAUUAACACAUGGAUAACACUCAUUCAGGAAGGAUUCCCAGAUGUGAUUAGGCCUGUUUAAGGUUCAAUAAUUUGUUCAGUGAUUAUUUUGACUUUUACAGAAUGUAGAUCUAUAAAAACAAUUUUAAAACAGUAGCACAGCUAAUGGUGUUAAUGAUCAAUCUGUGGAUAUAUGAUCUCGCGUGUGUGUGUGUGUGUGUGUGUGUGUGUGUGCGUGUGUAGCAUGGCGCGGGGAACUGUCCGUGGUGCUGAACCCUCACGCGCGUCGGUAACGCCCUACACCUCAAAGCAUGGAGGGGAGAAAAAUGAUGAAAUGUGUAUAUUUGAGAAAAACAACUGAAUGAAACACAUCAUAUCACAUCAUCACAUUACAUAUUGAC